rnacentral:rRNA from 1 species
AGCGAACGCUGGCGGCAGGCCUAACACAUGCAAGUCGAACGAACCUUUCGGGGUUAGUGGCGGACGGGUGAGUAACACGUGGGAACGUGCCUUUAGGUUCGGAAUAACUCAGGGAAACUUGUGCUAAUACCGAAUGUGCCCUUCGGGGGAAAGAUUUAUCGCCUUUAGAGCGGCCCGCGUCUGAUUAGCUAGUUGGUUGAGGUAAUGGCUCACCAAGGCGACGAUCAGUAGCUGGUCUGAGAGGAUGAUCAGCCACAUUGGGACUGAGGCACGGCCCAAACUCCUACGGGAGGCAGCAGUGGGGAAUCUUGCGCAAUGGGCGAAAGCCUGACGCAGCCAUGCCGCGUGAAUGAUGAAGGUCUUAGGAUUGUAAAAUUCUUUCACCGGGGACGAUAAUGACGGUACCCGGAGAAGAAGCCCCGGCUAACUUCGUG